rnacentral:rRNA from 1 species
GAUGAACGCUAGCUACAGGCUUAACACAUGCAAGUCGAGGGGAAACGACAUCGAAAGCUUGCUUUUGAUGGGCGUCGACCGGCGCACGGGUGAGUAACGCGUAUCCAACCUGCCCACCACUUGGGAUACCUUGCGAAAGUAAGACUAAUACCCAAUGACGUCUCUAGAAGACAUCUGAAAGGGAUUAAAGAUUUAUCGGUGAUGGAUGGGGAUGCGUCUGAUUAGCUUGUUGGCGGGGUAACGGCCCACCAAGGCGACGAUCAGUAGGGGUUCUGAGAGGAAGGUCCCCCACAUUGGAACUGAGACACGGUCCAAACUCCUACGGGAGGCAGCAGUGAGGAAUAUUGGUCAAUGGACGAGAGUCUGAACCAGCCAAGUAGCGUGCAGGAUGACGGCCCUAUGGGUUGUAAACUGCUUUUAUAAGGGAAUAAAGUGAGCCUCGUGAGGCUUUUUUGCAUGUACCUUAUGAAUAAGGACCGGCUAAUUCCGUG